rnacentral:rRNA from 1 species
GCAGAACGCGAAGAACCUUACCCACCUUUGACAUGUACGGAAUCCUUUAGAGAUAGAGGAGUGCUCGAAAGAGAGCCGUAACACAGGUGCUGCAUGGCUGUCGUCAGCUCGUGUCGUGAGAUGUUGGGUUAAGUCCCGCAACGAGCGCAACCCUUGCCAUUAGUUGCUACAUUUAGUUGAGCACUCUAAUGGGACUGCCGGUGACAAACCGGAGGAAGGUGGGGAUGACGUCAAGUCCUCAUGGCCCUUAUAGGUGGGGCUACGCACGUCAUACAAUGGCUGGUACAAAGGGUUGCCAACCCGCGAGGGGGAGCUAAUCCCAUAAAGCCAGUCGUAGUCCGGAUCGCAGUCUGCAACUCGACUGCGUGAAGUCGGAAUCGCUAGUAAUCGUGGAUCAGAAUGUCACGGUGAAUACGUUCCCGGGUCUUGUACACACCG